rnacentral:rRNA from 1 species
UUGUUGGUAAGGUAAAAGCUUACCAAGGCUUCGAUCAGUAGCUGGUCUGAGAGGACGACCAGCCACACUGGGACUGAGACACGGCCCAGACUCCUACGGGAGGCAGCAGUGGGGAAUUUUGGACAAUGGGGGCAACCCUGAUCCAGCCAUGCCGCGUGAGUGAAGAAGGCCUUCGGGUUGUAAAGCUCUUUCAGCCGGAACGAAACGGUUACAGAUAACACCCGUGACUACUGACGGUACCGGAAGAAGAAGCACCGGCUAACUACGUGCCAGCAGCCGCGGUAAUACGUAGGGUGCGAGCGUUAAUCGGAAUUACUGGGCGUAAAGCGUGCGCAGGUGGUUUUGUAAGUCAGAUGUGAAAGCCCCGGGCUCAACCUGGGAACUGCGUUUGAAACUACAAGACUAGAGUGUGGCAGAGGGGGGUGGAAUUCCGCGUGUAGCAGUGAAAUGCGUAGAGAUGUGGAGGAACACCGAUGGCGAAGGCAGCCCCCUGGGUCAACACUGACGCUCAGGCACGAAAGCAUGGGGAGCAAACAGGAUUAGAUACCCUGGUAGUCCAUGCCCUAAACGAUGUCAACUAGUUGUCGGGCCUUUACGGGCUUGGUAACGUAGCUAACGCGUGAAGUUGACCGCCUGGGGAGUACGAUCGCAAGAUUAAAACUCAAAUGAAUUGACGGGGACCCGCACAAGCGGUGGAUUAUGUGGAUUAAUUCGAUGCAACGCGAAAAACCUUACCUACCCUUGACAUGUAUCGAAGCCCGCAGAAAAGCGGGGGUGCCCGAAAGGGAACGAUAACACAGGUGCUGCAUGGCUCUCGUCAGCUCGUGUCGUGAGAUGUUGGGUUAAGUCCCGCAACGAGCGCAACCCUUGUCAUUAAUUGCCAUCAUUUAGUUGGGCACUUUAAUGAGACUGCCGG